rnacentral:rRNA from 1 species
GGAUUGGGAGGGUUCUACCGAACCCGUUUGGUGAAUCUAGUGCCGAGAAAAGCCUUCUAUGUGUUGAAUUUCUAGUACCCGUACCCCAAACCGACACAGGUGGGUGGGUAGAGCAUACCUAGGGGCGCGUGAUAACUCUCUCUAAGGAACUCGGCAAAAUGGCCCUGUAACUUCGGGAUAAGGGGUGCCUGCGUGAGCAGGCCGCAGUGAAAUGGCUCUGGCGACUGUUUACCAAAAACACAGGUCUCUGCUAAGUCGUAAGACGAUGUAUAGGGGCUGACUCCUGCCCAGUGCCGGAAGGUUAAGGAAGUUGGUUAGCGCAAGCGAAGCUGGCGACCGAAGCCCCGGUGAACGGCGGCCGUAACUAUAACGGUCCUAAGGUAGCGAAAUUCCUUGUCGGGUAAGUUCCGACCCGCACGAAAGGAGUAACGAUCAGAGCGCUGUCUCGGAGAGAGACACGGCGAAAUAGGAUUGUCCGUGAAGAUACGGACUACCUGCACCCGGACAGAAAGACCCUAUGAAGCUUUACUGUAACUUGGAAUUGUGUUCGGACUUUGUCUGCGCAGAAUAGGUGGGAGGCUAUGAAACGUUCCUCGCGGGGAACUGGAGCCAUCGUUGAGAUACCACUCUGGCAGAGUCUGGAUUCUAACCUACGGGGACAGUUCCAGGUGGGCAGUUUGACUGGGGCGGUCGCCUCCUAGAAUGUAACGGAGGCGCGCAAAGGUUCCCUCAGGCUGGUUGGAAAUCAGCCAUAGAGUGUAAAAGCAUAAGGGAGCUUGACUGUGAGACCUACAAGUCGAGCAGGGACGAAAGUCGGCUUUAGUGAUCCGACGGCACUGAGUGGAAGGGCCGUCGCUCAACGGAUAAAAGUUACUCUAAGGAUAACAGGCUGAUCUCCCCCAAGAGUUCACAUCGACGGGGUGGUUUGGCACCUCGAUGUCGGCUCGUCGCAACCUGGGGCGGUAGUACGUCCCAAGGGUUGGGCUGUUCGCCCAUUAAAGCGGCACGUGAGCUGGGUUCAGAACGUCGUGAGACAGUUCGGUCCAUAUCCGGUGUAGGCGUAGGAGCAUUGAAAGGAUCUCUCCUUAGUACGAGAGGACCGGGAGGGACGUACCUCUGGUGUACCUGUUAUCGUGCCAACGGUAAACGCAGGGUAGCCAUGUACGGAGUGGAUAACCGCUGAAAGCAUCUAAGUGGGAAGCCCACCUUAAGAUGAGUGCUCCCUUGAGGCCACGGGAAGACGACCCGUUUGAUAGGCGCUAGGUGGAAGUGCAGUAAUGCAUGCAGCCGA